GUGGGGAAUAUUGGACAAUGGGCGAAAGCCUGAUCCAGCCAUGCCGCGUGAGUGAUGAAGGCCUUAGGGUUGUAAAGCUCUUUCAGUAGGGAAGAUAAUGACGGUACCUACAGAAGAAGCCCCGGCUAACUUCGUGCCAGCAGCCGCGGUAAUACGAAGGGGGCUAGCGUUGUUCGGAUUUACUGGGCGUAAAGCGCACGUAGGCGGAUCGUUAAGUCGGGGGUGAAAUCCUGGAGCUCAACUCCAGAACUGCCUUCGAUACUGGCGAUCUUGAGUCCGGAAGAGGUGAGUGGAACUGCUAGUGUAGAGGUGGAAUUCGUAGAUAUUAGGAAGAACACCAGUGGCGAAGGCGGCUCACUGGUCCGGUACUGACGCUGAGGUGCGAAAGCGUGGGGAGCAAACAGGAUUAGAUACCCGAGUAGUCC
rnacentral:rRNA from 1 species